AAGCUUGUAAACUUAGUGGCGGACGGGUGAGUAACACGUGAGCAACCUGCCUAUCAGAGGGGGAUAACAGUUGGAAACGACUGCUAAUACCGCAUAAUGUAUUCUGACCGCAUGGCCCAUGGAAGAAAAGGUGGCCUCUACCUGUAAGCUAUCGCCUGAAGAGGGGUUUGCGUCUGAUUAGCUGGUUGGAGGGGUAACGGCCCACCAAGGCGACGAUCAGUAGCCGGUCUGAGAGGAUGAACGGCCACACUGGAACUGAGACACGGUCCAGACUCC
rnacentral:rRNA from 1 species